GAUCAGUAUAUAUUUGGCGGUUGAAGAGAGCGGACGGUAUCCUGGAGUGUGUUUGGUUCAAGAUUCCUAUUUAUAUUAUAUAUAUAGACUCUUCACACCUGCAGCUAUAGGCACAGAAAGAAACCUUAGAGACAAGAUUUUCAAAAGGUUGUUGAGGAGAAAAGAAAUAGCGUCGAAAAAUAUUAUACUGGAAGUAAAUUGUGCCGGCAAACAGGAAAAAAUACACUUUGCUGUGUGCAAAAAUACACUUUGCUGUGUGCAAAAAAGUUGGGAGCAUCUUUGCAUGAAGCAACUUGCACAUGUCAGGGGGCAUAACCAAACUGUGUGCAUGAAGUCAUUACCCAUAUUUUUGCCUGAAGCAAUUGCCUACAAAGGCGCACAUAACAAUUGCUCAUAACUAUAGGAAGCAAUUGCACUUGUUGAAGAAUGUCCGGUUAUGAGCUGCCAGUGAGCAGGGUUGGGAUGAGUCCAGGACUAGAUCAUCUUGGAAUACCAAGCUCAUAUACAGGUGGUUUGGUAUCUAUGGGUGGAGGUAUAAGUUCUGGAAUGGGAGGUCUACAUAUUAGUUCAGGAAAAGGAAGCCGACCUGUUAGCCCACCUAUGAUUCAG